rnacentral:rRNA from 1 species
CACGUAGGGGGCGAGCGUUGUCCGGAUUUAUUGGGCGUAAAGAGCUCGUAGGCGGUUCACUAAGUCGGGUGUGAAACCUCCAGGCUCAACCUGGAGACGCCACCUGAUACUGGUGUGACUAGAGUCCGGUAGGGGAGUGUGGAACUCCUGGUGUAGCGGUGAAAUGCGCAGAUAUCAGGAGGAACACCGAUGGCGAAGGCAGGUCUCUGGGCCACUACUGACGCUGAGAAGCGAAAGCGUGGGGAGCGAACAGG